AAUUUUGGACAAUGGGGGAAACCCUGAUCCAGCCAUCCCGCGUGUAUGAUGAAGGCCUUCGGGUUGUAAAGUACUUUUGGCAGAGAAGAAAAGGUACCUCCUAAUACGAGGUACUGCUGACGGUAUCUGCAGAAUAAGCACCGGCUAACUACGUGCCAGCAGCCGCGGUAAUACGUAUGGUGCAAGCGUUAAUCGGAAUUACUGGGCGGAAAGCGUGUUUAGGCGGGUGGGAAAGAAAGAAGUGAAAACCCAGGGCUCAACCUUGGAACUGGAUUUUUAAAUGCCGGGGUAGAGUAUGGCAGGGGGGGGUAGAAUUCCACGUGUAGCGGUGAAAUGCGUAGAUAUGUGGAGGAAUACCGAUGGCGAAGGCAGCCCCCUGGGAUAAUACUGACGCUCAGACACGAAAGCGUGGGGAGCAAACAG
rnacentral:rRNA from 1 species